rnacentral:tRNA from 1 species
CAGGGUAUAGCUAAACAACGUAUAGCAUCUCCUUUACGCUGAGAAGACACCCGUGCAAACCGGGUUAUCCUGA